rnacentral:rRNA from 1 species
AUUGAACGCUGGCGGCAUGCCUUACACAUGCAAGUCGAACGGUAACAGGUCUUCGGAUGCUGACGAGUGGCGAACGGGUGAGUAAUACAUCGGAACGUGCCCGAUCGUGGGGGAUAACGGAGCGAAAGCUUUGCUAAUACCGCAUACGAUCUACGGAUGAAAGCAGGGGACCGCAAGGCCUUGCGCGGACGGAGCGGCCGAUGGCAGAUUAGGUAGUUGGUGGGAUAAAAGCUUACCAAGCCGACGAUCUGUAGCUGGUCUGAGAGGACGACCAGCCACACUGGGACGGAGACACGGCCCAGACUCCUACGGGAGGCAGCAGUGGGGAAUUUUGGACAAUGGGCGCAAGCCUGAUCCAGCCAUGCCGCGUGCAGGAUGAAGGCCUUCGGGUUGUAAACUGCUUUUAUACGGAACGAAAAGACUCUGGUUAAUACCUGGGGUCCAUGACGGUACCGUAAGAAUAAGCACCGGCUAACUACGUGCCAGCAGCCGCAGUAAUAC